AAUUGAUGUCAUCUACAGACGCAGUAACACAGGAGCAGCCGGCAUGUCUCUCAGCUGAGAAGGGAGGAAAAGAACAAUUGUUUACAAUAUACAAACCUCCUUUCUAAUGGACUUUGUGAACUUUGUAAAUAAAAAAAAUUUCAAAAGCAGGCUUCACUACACAUCCGACAAUCCGCCAGUCAGCUAUAGACGUACGAGCUCCUCGCGCCAUUCUCUGGUUUCGAGCUGUGUCUCUCGUCUCCCUGGAUCCCCUUUGGACUACCUGCUGCCUUCCUGGAUCUCGACCUCUUGCCUGGACACGGAUUCUGACGCCUCGCUCCUGUCCUUGACCAUUUGCUUGCCCACGGACCUCCGAGCCUGCCUUGCCCCUUCUGGACUUCCGCACCUCUCACAACACGCACCUUCAACAUUGUACGGUAACACUCACUAGCUAGACCAGGGGUGUCCAAAAUGCGGCUCGGGGGCCAUUUGCGGCCCGCGGGUAAUUUUUUAACGGCUUUAAGCACAUUAUAAAAAUACGAUUAAAAAAAUAAAAAACUGAAAAAGUGGUAUAAAAGAGUAAAGAGGUGAAAUGUGACAAGAAAAUGUUGCAAUGUUUACUCUAAUAACACAAAACUGCCAUGCAGGCUGUUAUUUUCUUUAAAAAAAUGUUUUUAACCAAAAUCAAUGUCACAUUAAAUAUUCCACUUUGAGAUAUUUUUGGGGGAAAAUGUUGCAUAUUUUGUGUUUGCCAUAUGAAAAAUAAAGUUUUUUGUUUUUUUUUCUAAAGAAGGGCCUAAUAAGAACAAACAAAAAACAUAAACAACAGUAAAAGUUAUAAUUGACAGAUGAUCUGAAGUUGAUCUCAAGACGAUUGUUGACAGUUAAUAGUAAAAAAAAAAAAGUUUUUUAUUUUUAAUGAGUAGGACCCUAUUGGAUCCCCAAUAAUUUUAGUGCGAUUUUUUUUAGUGUGUCAUUGCUAAAAAAAUAAUAACAAAUUGAAAUCAAUGGUCUUUUGAAAGUGCCCUGCGAUGAGGUGGCGACUUGUCCAGGGUGUACCAUGCCUUCCGCCCGAUUGUAGCUGAGGUAGGCACCAGCGCCCCCCGCCACCCCAAAGGGAAUAAGCGGUAGGAAAUGGAUGGAUGGAUGGGUGUUGUGUGUUGACAUUUUUAAGGCUCCAAUUAUUCUAUAAUCUCAAAUAUUCCACUUUAAAAUUCUAUUGGGGGAAACUAUUGCAUAUUUGGUGUUUUUUUCCCCCAUAACAAAACAGGGUUUUCUUUGACAAAAAGGGUAUACAACUUAAAUCUUUAAAAAUAAUAGACCUAAUGUUGAUCUAUAGAUUUAAACCUUGAAUAACAAUAGUACAAAAUAAUGUUACAUUUUGGGGUCCCUGGGAUCAAGCCUGAGUGGAGGCCUAAAUGUAUAUUUUUACACAUAUAUUGUAUUGGUUUUUGAAAUAAAAACAUAUCAAAAUGGCUCCCGCUUGCUUUGAUUUUUCAGUGUGCGGCCCUCAGUGGAAAAAGUUUGGACACCCCUGAGCUAGACGCACCACAUAGUCACACCAUACACCUCUGGAAUUACGACACACAUCAUUUUAUUAUAUUAAUAAAUACGCCUAAGGCUAAAGGAGGUCCCUGCCUCAGUGCCCUCUCCUUCUCCACUGAACCAUUACAUUAUGUCCCAUGCCUUAAUGUCACCUUGUUGUGUGUGAUAUACUGCAUUUGUCAUGUUGGUCAAGUGCAGAGUUACAGUUAUGUAAAACACACUCAAAUACAGCGUAGUACCAUUUAAAGCUACAGACACACAAACCAGCGUGUUGUUAAAAGCACUUUUAAAACUGUCUACACUCCAGCAUCACGUCUAGAUUUGGGGCAAGAUUCUUCCAAUAUGCUGUUGUGGGACCUCUGAGACUUAUCUAAACUUGUUGGAAUAUACUAAAAAAUGGGACCUUUACUAUCAUAUGCAUUUAGGUAUACUGUAUGUGUGCGUGGCUUGAUGAUGAUGUUGCAUUAUGAGCUCAGAUAUUCCCUGAAAAGGAGGGAAAGUACAAAGUGCAGGAAAUAUAGAAAGGUGAUAGGAUACUGUUGUUUUUGUCCUUAGUGUUAUCAGUUUGACACAUUCUAAUUGAGGCUCUUUGCCUUUACCUGACAGGCAGGCAGUGGAGUCCAUCCACUUGAGAAGCUGCCCAGCGCUCAGCUCGCCGCAGUGGUUGGAAUGGCAGGGCAGCACUAUUUGACUCAUUUUCACUUCCGUGGGGUUUCUGUACGGCUCGCCGUUCUCCGUCACGUUGUGGUCGUCGUUCACCUCUGACAUCAUGACUACACAGACAGGGGACAUGUGACAGCGAGUCACGGUGUCAAACAUGUCAUUGCAGUUAAGCUGUUGCACACUGUAAAACUUUUAGUUCUAAAUUCACAGCAGACUGUUUAAUAACUGCAUUAUUUUUACAGCAACACCUACAGUAAUUUACUGUGGAAUGUCUGUUUAUGCUUAAUCACAAUAAGUAAAUGCUCUAACUCACAUGCGGCUCUUAAGUGCCACCCUAAAGGCUCCCUGGAGCAUUUUUUAAAAAAGGAUUGAAAAUUGAAAAAGGUUUGGGAAAAUUUUUGUUUCUGUAUGUUUUUUUGUUUGAGGACAAAAAUGACACACACCUUUUCAAUUGUUUGAAAGCUUACUGUUUAAUAUGUUUGUGUGUAUGCUUCACUGAUGAGAGCAUUUGGUGAAAACCAUUCUUGAACUCACCAUAGUGUGGUCUGUGACCCAACAGUUUGUUUGUAUGUAAAAUCUUCCACUCCUUCUUUGUCUCAUUUUGUCAAUCAAAAGUUUUAUGCUGGGUGUGAAUGCACAAAGGUGAGCUUUGUU